GCUGUGAUGCCGCAACAGGUACCGGGCCGGUCUUGAAAACCGGUGAUCCGUGGAAACGGGCUGGGGGUUCAAAUCCCUCUCACAGCG
rnacentral:tRNA from 1 species